rnacentral:rRNA from 1 species
AGUGAACGCUGGCGGUAGGCCUAACACAUGCAAGUCGAACGGCAGCACAGUAAGAGCUUGCUCUUACGGGUGGCGAGUGGCGGACGGGUGAGGAAUACAUCGGAAUCUACUUUUUCGUGGGGGAUAACGUAGGGAAACUUACGCUAAUACCGCAUACGACCUACGGGUGAAAGCAGGGGAUCUUCGGACCUUGCGCGAUUGAAUGAGCCGAUGUCGGAUUAGCUAGUUGGCGGGGUAAAGGCCAACCAAGGCGACGAUCCGUAGCUGGUCUGAGAGGAUGGUCAGCCACACUGGAACUGAGACACGGUCCAGACUCCUACGGGAGGCAGCAGUGGGGAAUAUUGGACAAUGGGCGCAAGCCUGAUCCAGCCAUACCGCGUGGGUGAAGAAGGCCUUCGGGUUGUAAAGCCCUUUUGUUGGGAAAGAAAAGCAGCAGGUUAAUACCCCGCUGUUCUGACGGUACCCAAAGAAUAAGCACCGGCUAACUUCGUG